UCUUCCAGUUAUUCCCCAUAUAUACUCUAUGGGGUUGAAAAUAAAACGAUAGGGUGCAGUUCUAAGCAUCUUAUGCCCAUGCUGCUCAGUUAACCCUAUCUGGUGCUUAAAUACGAGGGCUGUCCGGCGGAAAGUGAGCCUAGGGUCGAAAGACUGACUUUUAAAAUCUAUUAUAUUUUUUACUUUGCAACAUAAUCUCUAUCUAUUUCAAUAAACUUUUCACAUCGACCGUGCAAUUGUUUUAUUCCGCGAAAAAAAAAUUCCGAAACUUGGUCUGCAAAAUGCUCAUCUACAGCUGACUUCAUUUCGUUUUCAUCGAAAAAUCUCCUACCACGUAACGCCUUUUUUAAAUCUUUAAACAAAUAAAAAUCGCUGGUAGCCAGAUCUGGACUGUAGGGUGGAUGAUUAAUUUCCUCGAAGCCCAUAUCUCGUACAGCACGCCUUGCAACUUGAGCUGUGUGAACUGGCGCAUUGUCCUACAAUAGGAGAAUUCCUCGGCUAAGUUUGCCCCUGCGUUUUUAAAUAAUAGCUUGUCACAGUUUGAUUAUUAAGUCAGCAUAAUAUUGACUGUUCAUCGUUCUUCCUCUUGGAAGGUAAUCCACCAUAAGUAUUCCUGCGCUAUCCCAGAAUAUCGUUGCCAUAAGUUUGGUUGCCAUCCUUUGAACCUUAAACUUGCGCGGUGGCUUUUUUCCUUUUUUAUCCAUUGCAUCAACUCUUGUUUGGAUUCUGGAUCGUACCGAUAAAUCCAUGUUUCAUCACCGGUUACAAUACGAUGACAAAUCGCAGCCAAAUCACAUAAAUGAAGAAAAUCAUGAGAACUUUCCACCCUUCGUUCCCGAUCUAACGGCGUUAGCAUUUUGGGUACCCAACGCGCGCUCACCUUGCUCAUUAACAAAUGAUUACGAAGAAUUUGUACAACAUUAUCUUUACUAAUCUUCAAUUCCUCUGCUAUCUGACGAACUCGAAUUCGACAGUCUUCGACAACUAAUUGUUCUACUUUUUUGAUAUUUUUGUCGGUAACGACAGUGCAAGAGGGCCCUGGGUGUUCAUCGUCUUUAAUUAACUUUCGUCCUUCUUUGAACAGUCAAGUCCACCUUUUGACUGUUGCAUAUAAUGGAGCACAUUGUGGGUAAGUGGCCAAUAAUUCUUCAUUAAUUUCUUUGGCACAUUUACCUUUUUUUACAAGGUAUUUUAUCACAGCACGAUAUUCCAAUUUCCAAAAACACAGCAUUUCACUAGACAUGUUGCGGUUUGUUUUACGUUUUCUCAAUAACCGUUACAUCAAUCAUAACCAAAUUUGAGACAUCAACUACUAACAUUAUGUGUGUAUACAUACAGUCGAAGUUUUUUUGACGUGACAACGUCUUAUAAUUCGAUUGAGCCGGCUGCACGCACGAAAAAACAUGACUCAUGCGGCGUUACCUCGCUCUGAGGCGUUCCAUGUAAGGCUUGAAGUGCAAGCGAGAACGCGGAACGAUUGUAAGAAAUUAAAUAUUACACAUGUUUAACAGUUGUAAAACAAUUGCUCAACGCACAUUUAUACUUGUAAAAACUAUUAAAUUGUAAAAAAAAAUUGACAUAAUUGUAUUUAUGCGUAUAAAUAAAUCUAACUUGAUCAAUUUCA